GCGGCUCCACGCGCCCGCGCUGCGUCAGUCGCCCGCGGCGGCGGCGGCAGCAGCAGCGAAGGAGAAGGAGGUAGCCCCGCGAUCGCUAAGGAAUGCGGCGGCUCCGCAUAACCACGGGGUCAGAGGUCACGGCUCCGGCCUCCGCUUUCCCGCUCUACUGCGAGGCCAAGACCGGACUGGCGGCGGGGCGGGAAGGCGAGACGCGGCUUUCCCUUCGGCGCCCGGGUGUGUGCGUGUCUGCCGUGGGUGUGUGUGAGUGUGUGUGAAGAGUGAGGAGGGGGAGUGUGGGGUUUUUUUUUUUUUGAACAAAAACAAACCGAAAGGGCGGCUGGGAGUCGUAGUCCCGGCUGCCUCUCUGGCCUCCCCCGCUCCGGAAGAAUAUGGCUGAGUGAAACUCUUGGACCACACUUCCCAGCGUGCCCCGCGGCCCGUCUUUUCCGCCCUCCCCUCCCUUCCUCUGCCCCGCGCAGAGCUCGCUCCACACAAGCUCUAGGGGAGCAGGGAUUUUUUUCCUGUUGUGUUCAAAACAAUACUUACUGCUGAAUACAUUACUGAAUCCUCCACAGAGCUCCACAAGAAUGUGCCAGCCCUGGGAGCAGGAGCUUCAUCCUGGACCCCGAGGACUAGAGCGAUGCCCACAACAUAGUAGGUACUCAAAAAAAUGAAGAAAGGAAGCUGGUGCUAAAGCCCUGGCUCUUCUCACUGCCCCAGGACAACCAAGCAGAGAAGACGGAUCCCUGCGUUGAACACACCCCUCACGGAAAUCUGCGCCCCCCGCCCCCAAGCACGCUCUGAGCACCGGAUCUGAGCCACUGAUCACUUUGAAUUGUACAUAUUUGUGAAUGACGCUACCUCCCUACCAGAAUGGGAGCUCCAGAAGCCCUGAGCCACGUGUAGCCCAUGACAUGUGGCACAGAGUUUGGACAGCAUUAUGUAAACCUUUUGUUCACUGGCCAAAGAAGAUAAAUUUCAAAACCAGUGGCAGAAGUUUAAUUUCUCUGUUCCUAAACGUAGCAAAGGAACCACCUUCCAUUCUGCUACCCUGAAAAAUGCCUCAGCCCCAUUCCUAGGGAACCAAGCCACAGUCAACCCUUGGAAUGCCUUGGGUUCUGAGCUGUGCCAGGGAAAGCUCCUUGCAGAAUGGAAUUUGCCAACCGAGCCCAGAAAACCUGCGUGAACAGCAGGCAAACUUAAAGCAGCACUUAGUGAAACUGCUUCCUGUUAUCUCAGAGAGAAAUAGUAGCAUGAGGGGCUGGCUUAAGGAGAAAACGCUGCAGUGCAAUAAAUAGGGCUGGGCGUCACCCCCGCCCCCGACAAACACCCCCAAAAGCCUCCGAGGGCUGCCCCUCUAUCUACAGGCUGUGCCUUGGAGUUGAACCCCUUCUCACUCUCCACUCCCAGCACUCCAGGCCUCGGGUUCCCCAGCAUGAGCCCCGUGUCUCGUUCAUGCUGCUGCCUUCGUCUGGCAUGUCCUUCCCUCCUCUCAGGCGAGUGAAACCCUACCCAAUAUUCAGGAGCACCGCUCAAAUGCGGCCUCCUCUGUGAAGGCUUCCUCCACCUCUCCUGUCCUAUCACUCCUUCCUCUGACAGAAAACACUCUGUCCUGAGCUGUGGGUGUCAGCACCGACCCAACUAGCUGAUCCAUCUAAGGGUCAAACCUAAGAAGACAACAGGACAUGCCCUCAGGGAACUUAUUGUCUAAUUGGGGGAGACCAACGCAAAGAAAUACAUUCAUCGCAAGUUGGGGAAAGGGCUAAGAAGGAAGCACGGUUUAUUUAGUGAGAGACACCACACAGCCAGGUGGAGAUGGGGGGAAACCAGAAUGCGUGGUUGGGGAAGGCUUCUUGGAAGAGACGACAUUAAACUGGUACCUGAUCAAUGAGUACGAGUGAGCCAAGCAAAGCGUGGAGAGAAAUUUCCAGAGAGAGGGCACAGCACAUGUGAAGGUGUCACGGCAUGAACGCGCUUGGCAUAACCCAGAACCUAAAGGAGGCCCGGGAGAGCAGCGGGAGGAGAGGAGGCUGGCCUUCUCGGAGGUCCUAACCACUCUGAAUCACCGUCCUUCGGUGCUUUUGUCUCUCCCCGCCUCAGAAGGGCUGGAGAGCAUUUCACUCCUCUCGGUCUCCAGUGCAGAGCAAGACACCUGGCACUCAACAAGCAUUCAACAAGUUCCUGUGGGCUGCACUGUCCCCAGCCAUGCGGGUGAGCCACUUCUCUCCCUGCCCGUUGCCCCGCCCCAAAAGCCAGUCCCCAGUCAGCUCGCCUAACCGAAGCACCCGGGGACGGUUUACCACAGGCUGCUGAUAGAAACAGAGGAUGAAACAGGAGCAGCUGUGAGAGCUACAGUUACGUCCUUGAUAAAUGCCACCGACAACCCAGUUGGCAGAUGUGACCACCGCAUAGUCCUUGGAGACCAGAUUCUCAGGGUAAAAUUCAAUCAGAUGGCAACUCUAGUACAAAAGGACCUGCCAAAAUCACGCGCCCCGAGACAAAAUACCAGUGUGAAGUUCAAAACAGUUUCCAAGGUCAACUGUUUUUAUUCACAGUACUUCUGAUGAUGAAAUGUAUGCGUUUUUUCCCUCCACCCGAUAAUUAAGUCUCUGAUUCUCCGGACACCAAGUGGGUGUCCUACAAUUCAAUUCAGUACUGACACUAACUCCCAGUAUUUCAGGACUUGGUCCCACAAGACUGCCCCCACUUCAGACGCUAGUCCAAAGUCCCAGGUUGCCACUUGUACCUCUGACCAACCAGCUAUAACUGUCGAGGGUUUCCACAGUCCUGUCCUCAGGUUAAAUAAUUACUAGAAUGAAUGGCUCACGGAACUCAGGAAAGCACUGUAGCUACUAUUACCGGUUUACUAUAAAGGAUGCAACUCAGGAACACCCAAAUGGAAGAAAUGCAUAGUGCAAGGUUGGGGGAAGAGCGCGGAGCCUCCCUGCCCUUUUCGGGCAUGCCAUCCUCCCAGCACCUUCGUGCGUUCGCCAACCUGGAAGCGCUCCAAACCCCCAUCAUUUAGGGGCUUUUAUGGAGGUUCCAUUAGGUAGGCACGAUUGAUUGAAUUAUUGACUAUUGGUGAUUAACUCAAUCUACAGUUCCUCUCCCCUCCCUGGAGAUCAGGAGGGGUGCUGAAAGCUCCGACACUAAUCACAUGAUCGGUUCCUCUGGCAACCAGCCUCCAUCCUGAAGUUAUCCAUGGGUCAUUUCAUUAGCAUAAUCUCAGGUAUGGUUGAAAGGGGCUUGUUAGGAAUACCAAAAGAUACUCUUAUCACUCAGGAAAUUUCGAGAGUUGUAGAAGUUUUGGGGGGAUAAAGACCCUAUAUAUUUCUUACUACAUCACAGAAGGUUUGAGUAGUUUCUUGAUUUUUUUUUUUUUUUAAACAACCCGGAAGAUGAGAAGACAACUUGGUGAGUCAGCAGGAAUUUCCAAGUUGCCCAGCAACCCUGCCCUGUACCUCCCCUGGUAUAUAGCCCCUGACCCACCCAGAUUUCUGCCACUUUCAAGAACACACUCAGAAUUCUUCAAAUCACACUCUGAACCCUUGCUUUCUGGCUAAUGAGUUUUGAUCUGUUCUCAACCAAUAAUUAUACAAGCUAAGCUAAGCUAGCUCAUUUUGGAAAGAAAGGGGGCUAUAGGGACGUUACACAUAGUUUGAGGCCAUCUUAUGAAGAGUUAAGAAUCAUUUGCCUAUAGGCCACCGUCUUCUCUGUGCUCUUCACAUUUCUUGUUGGUAUAUAUAUUUUUAAAGUCCUCUACUAAAUUCUAUUCUAUAGUAGUUCUCCAUGCUUCCCCCUAGUGAGGGUAAAAAAGGACUGCAGAUAACUUCCUGUGAAAUUCUACUUGUCUGUUACACGAGGCCUUCACAAACGCUGUUCCCUCUUUUUAUUUUUUUUAAUAAAUUUAUUUAUUUUUGGC